rnacentral:lncRNA from 1 species
CGGUGAUGGGGACCUGUAAUCCCAGCUACUUGGGAGGCUGAGGAAGGAGAAUCGCUUGAACCUGGGAGGCGGAGGUUGCAGUGAACUGAGUUCGCACCUUUACACACCAGCCUGGGCGACAGAGCGAGACUCCAUCUCACACAAAAAAAAUAAAAUAAAAUUACUCCUUAGGGGCUGAGACCAAGAAACAGUAUCAGAGGCUGAACCCCUCGGCGAUGAGCGUCUGUCCCAGGACUUGGAAGGGAGGGAGGGAGCAUGGCCACGGCAGCUGCCUGCAGUCCCUGUCCCAGCUCUGCCGCCGCCGCUCUGCUGCGUGACUCCAGGAACCCCCAGCCUCGCUGAAUCCACGUCCCCAGAAGAGAAAAGCCUGCCAGGCCUUGGCCUGCCCUGUCUGGGAAUCCUUGAUGGAGCCACCCCGAAACACCCCUAUGGGAACCCCUUUGGUCUUCAUCAUUCUUGGGUGUUUUCCACUGAUGACUGGGGGUGUCCCCAGUGGCAGCUGGGCCUGAGCUGUCAGCCAAGACGGGAGACAAACAAGCCUGUGACUCAGGCAGGGCAUGGCACAGCUGGCGGAAGGAGGCAUGCCUGUUCUUUGUGGCUGGGCGGGGGGUUAUCCGGACACAGGGAGUCUCCAGCUUCCGGCUUUCCCACCUCGGUGCCCCCAGCCCACACCUGCAGCUUGGCCAUGGUUCUUGGGGCCUCCCAAGGCUGCCCCUGCUGGCAAAGGCAUCCUGAUGCACCCGCCCCAGGGUGAGCCAAGGGCAGAGACACCCAGAAACGCCAGGCUGGAAGGUUGGAGAGCCCCUCCUCGCCCCCCGCAACACCAAUAAGCCCUGCCCCACCCUCCAAGCCCUUGGGGUGAGCCCCAUCACUAGUGACUAUAACUGAAUUUCAAUGCAGAAUAUUAUACAAAUUAGUAGUUUAUUUCUUCCUUUAGUAUUACAGUUCCAAAACAUAACUUGAAGGUCAGCACAGGAGCUGCUGUGAUAUAAAAGGAGAGAGUCACCUGGCGCCCCCUGCAGUCCUCCAGUUGCCCAGCAGCGGUGGGACGCUCAGUGGCACACACUGGGUCUCUGUAUGGCCUCCCACCUGCAAGGACUUCCCCGGGCAGGCCCAGCUGCCCAGAAGCCCCGGAACACACAGGAAGACAACACUAUAGGAUGGCAGGUGGGGAUCUGUGCAAUACAAACAUGUAGCUAGAAAACCCAACUGAGGAUCUGUCUAGAAUACUUCCGAUAUCAAUAUACCGUAGUUGUUGAAACCAGAACCGUCUCCAGCCGUCAGCAGUCUUGGCGGCUACUGUACAGCUGUCAGCAUGACUACAGGCAGCACCCGAGGCUAUCUGGGGUAAGAAGUGGGCCUGCACAUCACAUCGGUGAGUCAGUGAGAGUCAGGGCCAGAGGGAAAAGCAACUCGGAGGCUGAGGCUGGCACAGAUACACACAAGGGAGUCACACACAUAACAUAAGAACUUGUUAUAUAAAAUAGAUAUGUGGAAUCUAGAAACACCUUGAGAAAAUAGCCUAUAAAAAUAUAAACUGUAGUGAGAGUGUACAAAAGUAUUAACAGAGGUUCAACCCAUAAAAAACCCCAUCCAUUUAAAAGCUGGCAAUUCGCAGCAGAUGUGGGGAGGGAGCUCCCCUCGGUCCUGGUGCGCGCAUUUGGACAGGCCUUUGGGUUUCCCAGCUGGCAGGGUCCCCCUUGCAGGGGCCACGGGCUGGGUGUUGGGGUGAAGGUUCAGAGGAGGAACAGCAGCUUGGGGCAGCCCCUGUCAGAAGGGCCCCCUGCCAUGGCAGCCAGUGGAGGCCAGGGACCUUCAGGGCACUGGAGGGGACAGAGCAGCUCUUUCCUCAGUGACCCGAGGGAGGGGAAGUGUUAGCGCAAAAGAGUGGGGCCCACAGUCCUGGAAGGAGGAGUUGGCUCCGUCCCGUUCCCAAACUUUAACCAGGCGGAGCCGCCCUCUCUUGCCUUCUGGACACGCAUCACUUGAUUCCAGGCAGGAGAACCUCUGAGAAAGUGUCCCCAGUCCCUUUCCUCCAGGAACUCUCCUGCUGUCGCACACACACACUACCCGGCAGCUGCUGACAACUGCCUGGAAACACUAACAUACCACCGUGGGUUGCAGCCACGACGGGCCCCUGGUCAGGUGCAUCUCUCAGGGCAAACUGGACAACACGAGCCUGUCCCUAAAGGCAGCUCUUAGCCCCAGGACAUGGCAGUGUGUGCUGGCAUGUUCCAGGGGCCAUUGG